rnacentral:rRNA from 1 species
GACGAACGCUGGCGGCGUGCCUAAUACAUGCAAGUCGAGCGGAUUGAUGGGAGCUUGCUCCCUGAUAUCAGCGGCGGACGGGUGAGUAACACGUGGGCAACCUGCCUAUAAGACUGGGAUAACUUCGGGAAACCGGAGCUAAUACCGGAUAAUCCCUGUCCUCUCAUGAGGAAAGGCUGAAAGAUGGUUUACGCUAUCACUUAUAGAUGGGCCCGCGGCGCAUUAGCUAGUUGGUGAGGUAACGGCUCACCAAGGCAACGAUGCGUAGCCGACCUGAGAGGUUGAUCGACCAAACUGGGACUGAGACACGACCCAGACUCCUACGGGAGGCAGCAGUAGGGACUCUUCCGCAAUGGACGAAAGUCUGACGGAGCAACGCCGCGUGAGUGAUGAAGGUUUUCGGAUCGUAAAACUCUGUUGUUAGGGAAGAACAAGUACGAGAGUAACUGCUCGUACCUUGACGGUACCUAACCAGAAAGCCACGGCUAACUACGUGCCAGCCGCCGCCGUAA